UCCGUAGGUGAACCUGCGGAAGGAUCAUUAGAGAUAUUAUAGAUCUAAGCUUGGCUCUAAUCAAGUCUUGCUUAGUGUCUAAAAUCUAAUAACCACUGUGAACCUGUCUUGUCAAGCUCUUUGGAGCCUGACUGAGCCAUUACAAACAUGUAUAAGUGUAAAUGAACGUAAACAAACAUAACAUAAAAUAACUUUCAACAACGGAUCUCUAGGCUCUCGCAUCGAUGAAGAACGCAGCGAAAUGCGAUAAGUAAUGUGAAUUGCAGAAUUCAGUGAAUCAUCGAAUCUUUGAACGCACCUUGCGCCUUUUGGUAUUCCGAAAGGCAUGCCUGUUUGAGUGUCAUGAAAUCAUCAAUCCCCAUGGGUUUUUACUAGCCUGUGGUGUGUAUUGGACGUGGGCGUCUGCCAGUAACAUGGCUCGCCUGAAAUGUGUUAGCUGGGAUUUCUUCCCUGAUCGGUUUAAAGCUGGACGUAAUAAGUUUCGUCCUGGCCCGAUUGGAAGGCCUGCUCCGAAUCACCAUUAUCUUUUUGACUCUGACCUCAAAUCAGGUAGGACUACCCGCUGAACUUAAGCAUAUCAAUAAGCGGAGGA
rnacentral:rRNA from 1 species